GACGAACGCUGGCGGCGCGCUUAACACAUGCAAGUCGAGCGAUGAAACUUUAACAGAACCCUUCGGGGCGAAGAUAAAGUGGAUUAGCGGCGGACGGGUGAGUAACACGUGAGUAACCUGCCUUAGACAUUGGGAUAGCCUCGGGAAACCGGGAUUAAUACCAAAUAAAAUCAUAAUGACACAUGUCAUAACGAUCAAAACUCCGGUGGUCUAAGAUGGACUCGCGUCCCAUUAGCUAGUUGGUAGAGUAAAAGCCUACCAAGGCGACGAAGGGUAGCCGGCCUGAGAGGGUGAACGGCCACAUUGGAACUGAGAAACGGUCCAAACUCCUACGGGAGGCAGCAGUGGGGAAUAUUGCACAAUGGAGGGAACUCUGAUGCAGCGACGCCGCGUGAACGAAGAAGGCUUUCGAGUCGUAAAGUUCUUUUAUAUGGGAAGAUAAUGACGGUACCAUAAGAAAAAGCCCCGGCUAACUACGUG
rnacentral:rRNA from 1 species